rnacentral:rRNA from 1 species
AGCGAACGCUGGCGGCAGGCCUAACACAUGCAAGUCGAACGAAGUCUUCGGACUUAGUGGCGGACAGGUGAGUAACACGUGGGAACGUACCUUUUGGUUCGGAACAACUCAGGGAAACUUGAGCUAAUACCGGAUGAGCCCUUAGGGGGAAAGAUUUAUCGCCGAAAGAGCGGCCCGCGUUAGAGUAGCUAGUUGGUGAGGUAAAGGCUCACCAAGGCUACGAUCUAUAGCUGGUCUGAGAGGAUGAUCAGCCACACUGGGACUGAGACACGGCCCAGACUCCUACGGGAGGCAGCAGUGGGGAAUCUUGCGCAAUGGGCGAAAGCCUGACGCAGCCAUGCCGCGUGAAUGAUGAAGGUCUUAGGAUUGUAAAAUUCUUUUACCAGGGACGAUAAUGACGGUACCUGGAGAAAAAGCCCCGGCUAACUUCGUGCCAGCAGCCGCGGUAAUAC